UCUAAGUGAUAAACAAAUAAGACGACGAAUCCGAUCAAUUCAUUCGUUUUUUUCACCAGUGAUGACAAAUCUAGGCAUUUGUUUGAGAGAA